rnacentral:misc_RNA from 1 species
GUGCAAACUUUCUUGAGACUUGGAGGUCCCUUCCAGAUUCAAACGAAGUUUCCAAAGACUUCCCUGCCAUUGUUCUAACCAAUGUUGAGGCUGUUCUGGAACGACUCGCUGCUACAAACAUGUUCUUCAUUGCCAAAAGGAAGCAUGCAAACCAGGAUGUUUUCUACUUCUCCACUAAAAUUCCCAGAGGAAUCCCUUUCUUGAUUGAACUGACUACAGUUAUCGGAAGCCCUGGGCUGAAAUGUGCCGUCAAAACCCCAAACAUUGACAUGGCACCACUCUUUUUUGAAGCCUUGGAGACUCUUCUCAAGGAAUGAUUUAAACUGCGCUUUUCUUGUUCUCUUUCUACCCUGAGU